UACGUAGGGGGCAAGCGUUGUCCGGAAUCAUUGGGCGUAAAGCGCGUGUAGGCGGCUCGGUAAGUCCGCUCUGAAAGUCUAGGGCUCAACCCUGGGAUGCGGGUGGAUACUGCCGGGCUCGAGUCCGGAAGAGGCGAGUGGAAUUCCCGGUGUAGCGGUGAAAUGCGCAGAUAUCGGGAGGAACACCAAUGGCGAAGGCAGCUCGCUGGGACGUGACUGACGCUGAGACGCGAAAGCGUGGGGAGCAAACAGG
rnacentral:rRNA from 1 species